CAAAUAUGGCCCGUUUAAGUUUUGGUCCUUGUAAAAUAAAAAUUCAGAAAUCAGUCCCCGCAAAAAAAUCUAUCUUUUAAAAAUACCCCUGGGCCCAUUUAAGUCAUGACAAGUCACCAAAAUGCCUACGUGGCGCACGCUGAUUGAACCCAUUUUGUAGUUUUUGGUCCCUGCAAAAUAUUUUGUUUUUUAAAAAGGUCCCU
rnacentral:lncRNA from 1 species